ensembl:rRNA 5S_rRNA 5S ribosomal RNA
AUCUACGGCCAUACCACCCUGAACGAGCCCAAUCUCGUCUGAUCUGGGAAGCUAAGCAGGGUCGGGCCUGGUUAGUACUUGGAUGGGAGAAACCCUGUCUUGGGGAAA